UAAGCCCUACUUUGACAAAAGUGAAGUGCUGGCUAGACCUAACUUACAGCUGACACGUGAAAUAAUUGAGGCAGAUUUCAUCAAGAAAUUUGAUAGCUCGUGUGUCAAUUCACCUUCGAUUGCACUUUCAUCUCGGGAAUUCGCAUAUCUAAACAACAUUUGAAUGACAAACAGCCAGUGUGCAUUGUCAGCACGUGGCUAUCAUUAUCAUCAUUGGAAAUGAUGCUCCAGUGUUUUGUUAAGUUUUCACAUGAUGGGCUCAUGGUAGUGCCAUAUACAUUCAUUCCUUCAUGUCCUCAUGAAUAAACUGUUGCAAGUCAGCGCUGCGUGCGUGUCGCUCUCUCGUGUCCCUGUCUUUGUUGCGCUGUGGUUUUUCCCAAUGAAUCACCAAGAUGCGCAAACUGAACCAAGUGGAUAGUGCACAACAUUUACGCUUAUGUCUGUCUGCAAGCUGAAAGAUGACAGGAGCCUGAUGACGUCAAACAAGUCCGAAGUCAAACAGGGCAAAGUUUGUCACUGGACAUCGACGGUCAUGUGAAGUUGUGAUUCAAAGAGUUAUUUGAAGGCAGUGCCAGGAACAACUGCAGCUCUUGUGCAGCAGCUUGUGGAAAAAGGCCACGUAGACAAGCAUUUAAGCCCAACGACUGCUUCGGACCAGGAGGUGCGACUACAGAAGAACCACUGGAUUGCUCCGACCAUCGUAGCCAAUGCACCGCAACUGCCUGAUGACGAAAUCGAAGAGGAGGCAGCUGGCGAUAACGUGGUGUCUGAACACGCAGGCUCUGAGAAAAUUGUACACGACAUCAUAACAGGACGGAGGCUCAUGCUGUUGAUUGAUUUCAAUCACUGGAUAGACUGUACCCUCAUGGCCAAGAUCGAAAAGUCCUAGAACUACUCUACAUAUCAGCGAGCGAGACAGCAACUUCCAAUAUUUGUGCGCAGGGCUAUCCCGUUCAGGAGUAAAAAAAAUUUGUGCCAAAGAUUUCUGGCAGCCUCAACCAAUGGCCCGCCGAAGACAGCGGUGCCCUAAUACCCAGGCAAAGCCAGUGGAGGCCUACCAUACGCCAUCCUUCAAACCAGUGUCACUGGGCCCAUCGUUGCAGGCGACAGCUGCCGAACUGUUGGUGCCAGCAACAACACAGUCGACAUCAACUACA
rnacentral:lncRNA from 1 species